rnacentral:lncRNA from 1 species
ACUAAAAAUGACAAGAAUGCGUCUAAAUAUAAUCAUAUACUCAUUAAUCUAUGCAUUUUGUUUUAACGGAUGUAUUGAUUCCAUGUGGGGCUCCCCAAUAAAUCUCGUAAUACUAGCUAAUUAUAUUCUUGUUAACACAAAAGUAAGCCAGUCAAAGUAUGUGAACUAAAUACCUCUGUGCAAUUUAGAAGUUAGGUAGUCAGAGUUUCGAAGAGAUAGACUUUCACUCUGCAGACAAAGGAUUAAAUAUUGGGUAUAUGGUAGACUGUGCGGUCGACCACUGGACUUACUCACACGAAAUCAAAACAUCCGAUUUACUUUGAAUUCCCUCAUUCUAAACUUGAAGAAGUUUAAUGGAACUGAUAACAGCUGCUCUGAAAUGGAGGUGAAAAUGUAUUUGGGUAUUCCCCCUCUGGGGCAGUUCAUACAGAUGGUUAUAAUUUGCUUACAGUGUCAAGAUAACAGAAUGCAAUUCAAUUGCCUUAAUUAACAUUCUGCUUGGUUAAUGGUUUUUAACUGCUACACAUAUUGUAGGUUACGCCAAUGAUUAACAAUUGGAGACCAUUAAUUAACACAUUCAUUCACACACACAAACCAUGAUUUGAGGUCAUUAAAGAAAUGCUAAAUCUUUACAACUAUGGGUAAUCAUCACCUAGUUUAGUCAAAGAUUAUGUUCUAAAUUGGACCACUUUGUAAAUCUUUUUUUUUUUUUUUUGGCCUUUUGAGAACUUUCAGGUUACAAAAAAACAAUAGUAAUCACUGCUAUGCUGUAAAUGUAUGUAUACCAAUACAGCUGCCUACAAAUGUAUAGUUCAUUAUAUUUCAGUAGUGUAAAUACCCUACUCAAAGGCAGUAACCAAGGACAAUGGGAAUAUGUCAAACACAUUAGAAAUCUAAUAUUGUUUUUUAAUUGUAUGAAUAGAUUAUAAUUUAGGUGCCCAAAAUCUUAUGAAAGACCUGUUUUCAUAGCCACAUGUCUUUAACCAUAGUACAUAUUAUAAUUAUUUAUGUUUGGACUUUUGCUGGCCAAAAUAUUACUUAUACCUACAUAGAAAAAUUUGAUCUUGAAAAGAAACUAAAGUUCUUUAUGAGAUAACUUAAACAAAUCAAGAUUUCCAGUACCUUAACAUUUUAAACAAACUAUUAAACUAUGGUCCAGUAUUGUACUUUGUUGAUAUUUUUAAGCUGUGUGAGUUAGAUCCUUAUGUCGAAAAGGGGAGCACCACUGGACACAUAAAAUGUUCAUUGCAAUGUCACUAUGAAGUUAAUUAUACUAAAAAACCUAUUAUACUAGGAAAACCUAUAAACCUUGGAUAAUGCCUAUUUACCAUCAAUUUACCAAGAAGAUAUUUUACUUUAACAUCUCAAUUCUUAGUAAUGCCAGUAAUGAAUAUCUUUCCCUAUCAAAAUGUUUUUGUCAAGGAUGUAAAUUAAUCAUCAGUUAUUAAAUCUCCAAAAUUCAUUACUAGUUAGUAUUACUAGUAAGUCUAUUUUUGAUUUACAAGAGAACAAACAGUUGUAGUUUAGAUUUAAUAUUAGCAUUGGUGUCUGAUCUGGACUUGAGUUGGCUGUUUGGCUGAACUUAAGUAUCUAUAUUAGAUGCCACAAGGUCCUUUCUCCUGUAAAUCACACAGUGAAUGCUGUGUUCUUUUACAAGGUUAUUUACUAACCCUGAACAUUGUCAUUACUUCAAAGUGAAUUUUACCUUUCGGGCCAUCGUAAAUGACCUGGAAGAAUUAGCAAACCUGUGGAGAAUUAGCAAAACUAUGCUAAAGAAUGAUGUUUAAAAGAUUGUCGCGGCUGCUAGUGUGGUCCAACACGCAGAAACUAUGUAAACAUAUACAUACAAAAGGAAAGGAAAUGAAGGACAGAGCGUAAACCGGACCUUAGAAUGGCCGGACUAAUACGCUAGAGAUAGAAAAUGGUCAAAGGGAAAGCCGAGGUCAAGGAAGACGGAAAUACUCAGAUACCAUUUAAACAAGCCAAGUCAGGGGAACCAGAAUUCGAAAUAACCAGGGAAAAGCCAAGAUCAGGAUACCAAGAAGUAAUAUUCACAAAGAUAAACGCACUCUAGGGAACCAGGAACAGGAAACCACGACAGGGCAAGGUACUGGGGUGAAUUAGGGAUUUAAAUAUCCCUCUCUAGGCUCUGAUUGGUCAGACGGUGACCUCUGACCCCAGAACGUGCGCAUGCGUUGACGUUGUGACGUCACGCGCACGUUCGUAUAAUUUUGGGGGGGGUGGAGCCAUGGAUGGACGCGACCUCAUGGUCGGCGCCAUCAUGGAUUUCCCCAAGCGGCGUGGAGGAACGGUUCCCGGCUCGCCGCUGAGCAGGUAAGCUCAGUGAGUGGGUGCAGUCGUGCCGGUCGGGCACGGACGCACAUGGCGGCGAGCCGGGGGCUGUAACAAAGAUAAAAUGAGGAGAGUCCAAGGUGAUUGCUAUUAAUGGCUCACCAUGAUAGCCUGGGUCCAUAUAAGAUAUAUAUGUAUAUAUGUUGAUUUUAUAUAUGUUGAUAUAUAUAUGUUGAUUUUUAACUAGUGAACAAUACUUCUUUUUCACUGUGUUUUCAUGUAAUGCUAUUUUUAUUUAUUCUGUGUGACCUUCCUGUCAUCCUGCAGCUAUUUGCCAUAGAAAUUCAAAAUCAAACCAGGCGUACCGUUAACCUGGAAACAAACAUGAUUGCUAAUUCAAUUGAUAUCUUUCUAUUUACAUACGGUUUCCUAUAGUAAUACUUUUCUGACUUUUCUUCUUAUAACCUUUUACUUUUGAAGCUGUAUAGAUGUUCCAAAUGUCAGGUUUCUAAGAGAGGAAUUGACUGUUUACAAUUUGGAACACAGCAUUUCCUUAGAUGGCAUUAUGUUCAAAACACAGCAGCAGUGAUCUUCAAUGUCAAAGUUAAUUGAAUGGUAAGUACACAUUGAUCCAGUGUUAUGUACAGAUCAGAAUUAAUUUUAAAUCAGAGAGAGGGAGUGUGUGUAAAAUACACACACACAUCAGGCACCUAGCUCUGAUAUUUCCAAUUUGUUUUGAAU